CCAGACUCUUUCCAGCACUCUCACAUAUAACGUGAUCAAACAUGUUCACAUUUCUCUUCACUGUUACUGUCUUAGUGCUCUGUGCUGCAGGUCUUGUUGAGGGGAGUGAAGUCACUCAGACACCCACCAUACUCUGGGGACUGAAAGACAGUGAUGCUCAGAUGAACUGCAGUCACACUAAGGGAUCUGACUACAAACAGAUGUACUGGUACAGACAGCGUCCAGGAGAGGGAAUGAAGCAGGUAGUUUACACAAGUAGUUAUAGCAAACCAGACUAUGGAGCCUUCGGUGAAGACAAAUAUCCAACUGUUAAGACUGCAGCUGAGAGUGGAUCUUUCACAGUGAAGAAGGUGGAGGCAGGAGACAGCGGCAUGUACUUCUGUGCCGUGUAUGAACACAGUGAUACAGACGACAAGCACAGCUGCACAAAAACCCCAGAGUUUCAAUAG